rnacentral:rRNA from 1 species
GACGAACGCUGGCGGCGUGCUUAACACAUGCAAGUCGAACGGAAAGGCCCUGCUUUUGUGGGGUGCUCGAGUGGCGAACGGGUGAGUAACACGUGAGUAACCUGCCCUUGACUUUGGGAUAACUUCAGGAAACUGGGGCUAAUACCGGAUAGGAGCUCCUGCUGCAUGGUGGGGGUUGGAAAGUUUCGGCGGUUGGGGAUGGACUCGCGGCUUAUCAGCUUGUUGGUGGGGUAGUGGCUUACCAAGGCUUUGACGGGUAGCCGGCCUGAGAGGGUGACCGGCCACAUUGGGACUGAGAUACGGCCCAGCCUCCUACGGGAGGCAGCAGUGGGGAAGAGUGCACAAGGGGCGGAAGCCUGAUGCAGCAACGCCGCGUGCGGGAUGACGGCCUUCGGGUUGUAAACCGCUUUCGCCUGUGACGAAGCGUGAGUGACGGUAAUGGGUAAAGAAGCACCGGCUAACUACGUG